UUCAAACGAAAUUUGCCAAAGAGUUGAAGACGGUGAGAGUACAUCAAUUUGGGCCGAUCCGUGACUAGGAGAUUACCGGAGUUUGAAAAUAUUGACUCGACGGUCUAUCCAACACGGCUAGUCCCGGUCGAGUCUUCAACUUGAUGGACUCGGCAACUCUGGAUUUGGCUAUGACCCAGAUAAAAUGAUGGACUUCACUUAUCCCAGAAGGUGAUUGUUUACAAGUAAUGGAAGCUCUAGACGGUGGCGCUUCUCUAUCUGCAACUUUGAAAGCAUACAUUGAAGGUUGUUUUCUUUAGUGGUUUCUUUUCGAACUAUUCUUUUUCCUUUACUAAACAUUCUUGUAAUAUUCUAGCUUAUAUGUUGUCUGCUAAGUUUGGACACUUUUGUAUCAAAAGCAAUAGUCUUUGUUAGGUACAGGUUUCUUUAGACUCAGCCAUAGAUCCGUAGAACUAAAGAAAG
rnacentral:lncRNA from 1 species